CCAAAUAGAUACCCAGGUAGUCCACGCGUAAACGAUAGAACUAACUAGCGUGUCUGGGUGCUUGGCACUUAGGUGGCGCAGCUAACGCAUUAAGUUAUCCGCCUGGGGGAGUACGGCCGACAAGGUUAAAACUCAAAUGGAAUUGACGGGGGGCCUGCACAAGCGGUGGAGCAUGUGGUUUAAUUCGAAGCAACGCGCAGAACCUUACCAGCGUUUGACAUGCCCGGAGGUUUCCAGAGAUGGAUUCCUUCCCUUCGGGGACUGGGACACAGGUGCUGCAUGGCUGUCGUCAGCUCGUGUCGUGAGUAGUGUUGGGUUAAGUCCCGCAACGAGCGCAACCCUGCCUUUAGUUACCAUCAUUUAGUUGGGUACUCUAAGGAACCGCCGGUGAUAAGCCGGAGGAAGGUGGGGAUGGACGUCAAGUCCUCAUGGCCCCUUAGCGCUGGGGCUACACACGUGCUACAAUGGCGACUACGAGUGGGCUGCAAACGUCGGCGAGGGUNAGCUAAUCUACCAAAAGUCGUCUCGAGUUCGGAUUGCACU
rnacentral:rRNA from 1 species